rnacentral:rRNA from 1 species
AUCCUGGCUCAGAUUGAACGCUGGCGGAAUGCUUUACACAUGCAAGUCGAACGGCAGCACGGACUUCGGGUCUGGUGGCGAGUGGCGAACGGGUGAGUAAUAUAUCGGAACGUGCCCAGUCGUGGGGGAUAACUACUCGAAAGAGUAGCUAAUACCGCAUACGCCCUACGGGGGAAAGGGGGGGAUCGCAAGACCUCUCACUAUUGGAGCGGCCGAUAUCGGAUUAGCUAGUUGGUGAGGUAAAGGCUCACCAAGGCGACGAUCCGUAGCUGGUUUGAGAGGACGACCAGCCACACUGGGACUGAGACACGGCCCAGACUCCUACGGGAGGCAGCAGUGGGGAAUAUUGGACAAUGGGCGAAAGCCUGAUCCAGCAAUACCGCGUGUGUGAAGAAGGCCUUAGGGUUGUAAAGCUCUUUCGGCUGGGAAGAAAUCGCACAGGCUAAUACUCUGUGUGGAUGACGGUACCAGCACAAGAAGCACCGGCUAACUACGUG